rnacentral:rRNA from 2 species
AACGCGAAGAACCUUACCAAGGCUUGACAUCCCAGGAAUCCGCUAGAAACAGUGGAGUGCCUUCGGGAAUCUGGUGACAGGUGCUGCAUGGCCGUCGUCAGCUCGUGUCGUGAGAUGUUGGGUUAAGUCCCGCAACGAGCGCAACCCUUGUCGUAUGUUGUAUUUUUCAUACGAGACUGCCCGGGCCAACCGGGAGGAAGGUGAGGAUGACGUCAGGUCAGCAUGGCCCUUACGCCUUGGGCUACACACGUCAUACAAUGGCCGGUACAACGCGUUGCCAACCCGCGAGGGGGAGCUAAUCGCACCAAAACCGGUCCCAGUUCGGAUUGGAGGCUGCAACUCGCCUCCAUGAAGUCGGAAUCGCUAGUAACCGUGGGUCAGCAUACCGCGGUGAAUACGUUCCCGGGCCUUGUA